UAGGAAAUAUUCCAGAGAGAGAGAGAGACAGAUCUAGAGCGGGAGAAGAACUGAAGUAAACUGAGAAGAUCGAGAGAGAUAGGUCGAGAGAGAGAUAGGUCGAGAUAGUUAGGUCGAGAUCUGAAAUCCCAUGAUUUUUUUAUGGCGUGAAGAAAUGAACUGAGAAGAUUCAAGGGUACUGAAACAGAGCCGAAGUCUUGGGCAAAGUCAUGGUUUCCUCAUGAUGUUGCUUGUGAGCACAUCUACUCUAACUUUUCAGAAAGUUUUAAUAACAUGGCCCUGAAACUCAGAGACAAGCCUCUCACUCAUUUGGUCGAUAUGUAAACACAUUUGGUGAUGGUGUUGUUUUCAAAUAGAAGAAAGCUUGCUGCAACUUGGCAAUCUGGUGACCUUGUUCCUGCUGGGAAAGAUCUCAUUCUGGUUAUGUGCAAUCUUAGAGGUAACUAUGAAUGUGAUCCUUCUGAAGAGCGCAAAGUGUAAGAGGUUACCAACAAAGCUACUAGCAAAGUGUUUGUUGUUCGGGUAGAAGAACGAUCUUGUACAUGUACACAGUGGCAAUUGAGGCAGUUUAGCAAUUUAAAUUAUGAAGUGUUGUUUUUUUUUGGUAAGAAUGCAGUGGUUUGUUAUCUCGGUCUAAUUUCAUUUAAAAUUUCUAAAUUGCUAGCAUUAUUUUUG